rnacentral:misc_RNA from 1 species
AAGUCGUAACAAGGUUUCCGUAGGUGAACCUGCGGAAGGAUCAUUAACACGUAUCCAACGUUAAACAACCCUGUGAACUUUAAGUCCCAGCAAUCCCGGUAAAUCAUUGCCAAACAGUUUUGAUUCGGGACCUCUGUCCAAAAGGAGUUGCAAUCGAAGGGUGGAAGCAGUGGCAUGGCUUCCCCAAGCAGUUAGUGAAUGACAGUGUCACUGACUGUGUAAGGAUAACGCCUCACGGUUGCUAGAGGUCGAUCACCGACCGGCAGACAUGUCACAGGGUCACCACGCCCCUUAAUCACUCCACUUGAAAAUGCCCCGCCUAGUGGUAACGCGCUAGGUAAAAAAAACCGAACAACUGUUAACAAUGGAUAUCUUGGUUCUC